CCAACUGAAUACUCGUCUCCUGGAUGGCGGCAGCGCUUCGGUUAGCGGCGAAGAGGAUCUGCGGCGGCGCCCUCCAGCGACCGCCGCAGGCGUUUCUCACGGCCACCAAGGAGCUAGCAGCACCAAGGACCAGCCAUGGCCAUGGCGGGAGCUCGCUUCGCCAGCCGUUCAGCAGCUCCAUAAAUCCGCUUAACAAAAAGGCUGCAGGAUCUUCUUCAACGGGGAACGGCAAAUCUGGGACCUUGUGGAAAAAACAACUGUGGCUUGUGGCGACACUAGCAAGCCCGGUGAUCCUGCUACUGCAUUUAGGUUCUCUGAUAAGGCGGGAUAAAGCUGAGAAGCGAAGACUCAUAGAAAUUGAGCGCCACCUGAGAAGGUCUUUCGAAGAUUACGACUAUUUUAUUUCAACGAAGGACAAAUUUUUUUAAUAUCGCGAGGUACCUAAGAUAUUAGGGAUGCACACGUAUUGCCCUGCUACAAAAAAAAAAAAAAAUCGUUCUGUACCGUACC